GCGGCGUGCCUAAUACAUGCAAGUCGAGCGGACAGAAGGGAGCUUGCUCCCGGAUGUUAGCGGCGGACGGGUGAGUAACACGUGGGUAACCUGCCUGUAAGACUGGGAUAACUCCGGGAAACCGGAGCUAAUACCGGAUAGUUCCUUGAACCGCAUGGUUCAAGGAUGAAAGACGGUUUCGGCUGUCACUUACAGAUGGACCCGCGGCGCAUUAGCUAGUUGGUGAGGUAACGGCUCACCAAGGCGACGAUGCGUAGCCGACCUGAGAGGGUGAUCGGCCACACUGGGACUGAGACACGGCCCACACUCCUACGGGAGGCAGCAGUAGGGAAUCUUCCGCAAUGGACGAAAGUCUGACGGAGCAACGCCGCGUGAGUGAUGAAGGUUUUCGGAUCGUAAAGCUCUGUUGUUAGGGAAGAACAAGUGCAAGAGUAACUGCUUGCACCUUGACGGUACCUAACCAGAAAGCCACGGCUAACUACGUGCCAGCAGCCGCGGUAAUACGUAGGUGGCAAGCGUUGUCCGGAAUUAUUGGGCGUAAAGGGCUCGCAGGCGGUUUCUUAAGUCUGAUGUGAAAGCCCCCGGCUCAACCGGGGAGGGUCAUUGGAAACUGGGAAACUUGAGUGCAGAAGAGGAGAGUGGAAUUCCACGUGUAGCGGUGAAAUGCGUAGAGAUGUGGAGGAACACCAGUGGCGAAGGCGACUCUCUGGUCUGUAACUGACGCUGAGGAGCGAAAGCGUGGGGAGCGAACAGGAUUAGAUA
rnacentral:rRNA from 1 species